AUACGAUGAUUAUUGCGAUGAGUGUUCACACAGAUUGAUACGGUUUAUGAAGUUUAAGAGAUAGAACAUCCCCCAAGAUGUUCAACUUAGUGUCCCGUUCGUCUAGAGGCCUAGGACACCGCCCUUUCGCGGCGGUAACAGGGGUUCGACUCCCCUACGGGAUACCAUCUUUAAGCGCAUUUAAUUAAGUGUUCUUAAAAAUGGUUACUUCUUUGAAGUGAUUAGCUCUUUAACAAUUUGGAAAGCUGACAAAACAACAAUUUAUUGUUGUUUGUAAAGUUCUCAAAGUAUUCAUUUAUGAAUACAACUAAAAACACAUUCAAGUGUUCUUGGAAUUUGAGUCCGGCAAAAUCGAAUGUCUCUCGCUCAUUCAAAUAAUGAGAGACAACUUUGGUGAUUUGAUUAUCAAUUCGAAACUCCUUCGGGUUGUAUGG
rnacentral:tRNA from 1 species